GACGAACGCUGGCGGCGUGCUUAACACAUGCAAGUCGAACGGAAAGGCCCUGCUUUUGUGGGGUGCUCGAGUGGCGAACGGGUGAGUAACACGUGAGUAACCUGCCCUUGACUUUGGGAUAACUUCAGGAAACUGGGGUUAAUACCGGAUAGGAGCUCUUGCUGCAUGGUGGGGGUUGGAAAGUUUCGGCGGUUGGGGAUGGACUCGCGGCUUAUCAGCUUGUUGGUGGGGUAGUGGCUUACCAAGGCUUUGACGGGUAGCCGGCCUGAGAGGGUGACCGGCCACAUUGGGACUGAGAUACGGCCCAGACUCCUACGGGAGGCAGCAGUGGGGAAUAUUGCACAAUGGGCGGAAGCCUGAUGCAGCAACGCCGCGUGCGGGAUGACGGCCUUCGGGUUGUAAACCGCUUUCGCCUGUGACGAAGCGUGAGUGACGGUAAUGGGUAAAGAAGCACCGGCUAACUACGUG
rnacentral:rRNA from 1 species